CUCCCCCCGCCCGCCGCGCGGGGCGGGCGGGGGGGGGGCACGGGGGGCCUACGGGAGGCAGCAGUGAGGAAUAUUGCGCAAUGGGCGAAAGCCUGACGCAGCAACGCCGCGUGGAUGAUGAAGUUCUUCGGAAUGUAAAAUCCUUUGCAGGGGAGGAAUAGGUCGGCUGCCAG
rnacentral:rRNA from 1 species